AUGGCGAAGACGCAACCCCGCGGCCCGGCGGCGGAGCCGCUGCUCCCCCCGCCGCCGUACCUCAGCCCCCACUCGCCGGCCGACUUCCACGACGCCGACGACUCCUACGUCCUCCUCGUCCCGGUGCGGCUCCGGCGCCGCCUGCGCCGGGGCUGCGGCCGCGGCCGCGUCGCCGCGGCCCUCGCCGCCCUCGCGCUCCUCGCCCUCGCCUUCCUCCUCUGGCCCUCCGACCCCGGCGUCAGCGUCGCGCGCCUCCGCCUCGCGCACGUCUCCGUCGUCGCCCGCCCCGCCGUCGCCCUCAACGUCUCCGCCGCGCUCAAGGCCCGCGUCCGCAACCCCAACCUCUUCGCGCUCGACUACAGCCGCCUCGACGUCGCCAUCGGCUACCGCGGCCGGCCGCUCGGCACCGUCGCCUCCGGCGGCGGCCUCGUCCGCGCGCGCGCCGUCUCCUACGUCGACGCCGACCUCCGCCUCGACGGGAUCCGCGUCGUCGAGGACGCCAUCUACCUGCUCGAGGACCUCGCGCGCGGGUCCAUACCCUUCGACGCUGUCGUCGAGGUCGAGGGCCACCUCCACUUCUUCCUCAGCAUCCCGGUCAAGGGGAGAAUAGCAUGUGUGGUUCAUGUUAAUCCACACGAUCAGACCAUAGUACACCAGGACUGCUAUCCAAAGGUAAUGAACUUUGAACUCAGUUUACCGUCUCAAAGCCGAGUGCAAAGUUUCCAGAAUCUGACCUGUUCAUGUUUUCUACCAGUGAGUUGGUGA
rnacentral:rRNA from 1 species